GCACCAUGGAAACUUGCAAUGGAAGGGACUCCUAUGGUCUGAGGUGGAAGCAUCCCACAAAACCUGAAGUUCCCUUUAAGCCUAGUUGUAAAGAAUGGCAAGGCUAGACGUGCUCCAAGCAGACGGAAAUGAGUGAGCUAUGCUAUCUUCCUGAGGAGGAAGAAAAUGUCCACAGCUGGGGCAUGGAAAGGGAAUGGAAGCUCAGCUCCCCCAGUCACUGAGAUCUCCAUAGGGAGCGCCUUGUACACCAUGGAAAAAAAAUUCAAUCGUGUCCCAAGCACACUGGGGAAGCACUAAAGACGAGUUUUAAACAGGUGUAUUCAAGACUCAGAGUUCUGUUAUCUACAGGGCUCUCUGGUUGGAGUGUGGAGAUGAGAGAGAGGCAAGAUGGGGAAUGGGAGAUUCAUUAGGCAGUCCCUGCAAAGGUCUAGUGAGAAAUGAUGGCAGCCUGGACAGCAGUGGCCACUGUGGGGAUGGAAGGAGGAGGCAGGGUUUUCCGUGGGGAUGGAAGGAGGUGGAGGGUUUUCCGUGGGGAUGGAAGGAGGUGGAGGGUUUUCCGUGGGGAUGGAGGGACGUGGGCGGGUUUUCCGUGGGGAUGGAGGGACGUGGCGGGUUUUCGAGGUAUUCGGAAGGAGUUAAGAGAAGACGAAGGAAAAAGGAGUGGUGGAACUCUCCUGAAGAACAACUAAGAUUUGUUUCUUCAACAUUUCAGGCGUUCGAUCCUGCUUUGUCUAGUGACUUUAAGCCCGAGAAAUCUGAAACUUAAUGAGUUUGGGAAAAGUAAGUUAGGGGUGAAACUGUGGCAGGCACUACUGCUGACUGAAACAAGACCCAGCUAAGGACAUUUUUUUUUUUUUUUUUGAGACGGAGUCUCGCUCUGUCACCCAGGCUGGAGUGCAGUGGCCGGAUCUCAGCUCACUGCAAGCUCCGCCUCCCGGAUUUACGCCAUUCUCCUGCCUCAGCCUCCCGAGUAGCUGGGACUACAGGCGCCUGCCACCUCGCCCGGCUAAGUUUUUGUAUUUUUAGUAGAGACGGGGUUUCACUGUGUUAGCCAGGAUAGUCUCGAUCUCCUGACCUCGUGAUCCGCCCGUCUCGGCCUCCCAAAGUGCUGGGAUUACAGGCUUGAGCCACCGCGCCCGGCCCAUUUUCUUAUCAAGUCUCUCUCUCUCUCUCCCUCCCUCCCUCUGUAUCAUGAAAUUGCACACUCGCCCAUUCGCACCUAUUUGGAGCCAAAAGAGACCUUAGGCAGCAAUCCAAUUUACUUUACAAUCCCGACCUACACCCACCCCACCUCUUACCCAAAUUCAGGAGCAUUGCGCUCAGGCCAGCCACACACAAUUCACUCUUCAUUCGGGCCCAGGAGGCACCUGAGAGGCUUUGCAAAAGCUCAUUCUCUUCUCCAGACUUAAGUUUCUCCCUUGUUACAUUGGAGAAGAUUAGAAAUCGUAUUUAUUCAAUUCUCUGCAAAUGGCAUGAGUAGUGAUCAGAUAAACCAAAUUGAACUCUGAAGGCCAAUGCCCUAAAACCACAGAAAAUUCUUCUCUAAGAGUGAGUCUGACGUUCCAGCCUCCUCCACCCUCCCCAACCCCACUCCCACCUGAGUGACAGCAAUGAUAAAC
rnacentral:lncRNA from 1 species